rnacentral:sRNA from 1 species
UUUGCAUUUAUUGACUAUUGUGAAUGGAUCUUCAGAAAUAGGGAAGUUUAUACCUCAUUGACAUAUUGAUUCCAUUAUAUAUCCAGAACUACUAUUGGGGAAUUAUCUGGUCGAUACAUUUUACAUGUUUCAGAGUAUAUGAAUUGACACCCCUAACAACAGUGUGUAGGUUUCUCAACUGGAGUUUAGUAUUUUUAGACUUGUGUUAUUUAAAGAUAUAUCUUUUUAAAAAGUCAUUCCUUCAGAAAUGACUUCUGGCAUGAAGACUGCCUUGUCCCAGGAUGUGCUGCUCUGAAGAGAAAAUGGCAAAGCAAGCAGAGGGAGGCGUGUCUUCCAGACUGCUUUCCUGAGAGAGAAGUUCAACGUUAAUCAACGGGGAUCUCACUCCAUACAAAUGGAUAAAUGAUAAAUCUGAAUGCUAAUAAGCUCCAUAGAUGUUAACUUCAUGGAAGUUAUCAGAGAAAGAAAAAAAAGAAGAAGAAAAAGAAAAUCAACCUCAAUUGUAGGAUUUGGCAGUGAAAGGUCCCACUCCUGAAAACAUGGAGACGGAGAGCGAUGCAAUCAAGCAAGAGGUUUAAUGAUCCAUAGUGCUGGGGUGGCCCUGUAAUUGGGACAGAGGCAACCCCAAGUAGCAAAAGCACACACUUUUUAUACACUUGUGGAGGACGGCUAUCGGCAAUAGCACGAGUUGGUCCUUGAUGAUGCACAUUGACCUUUACACUCCUCAAUGGUGAGAUAUCUUUGAUACUUGGAUGGGGAAUUGACAAGGAUCCUGCCCUCUUUCAGGUUAGUUCAUUUCCUGGAGCAGUGUGUUAUUCUAAAUUCUUUGGAAAUUCCCUGGUUCUGAUAAUGCAAAGUCUCAACCAUCUGGUGUUUUCCUUAAGGCAGCCAUAGUCAUUAUGUUUUAAUCUUACAACUUAGCUUUCCUAAUAUACGCAGAAAACUUAAUAAAAGUCACUAGCACAGUCUAAAAAUUUCAUCAGUUCUCAGGAAUUUAAUAUGUUAAUUUUAACUACAUAGAAGGUGAUCAUGGCUGCAUUCGUAUUCUGUUGUGGCUGUAACAAAUUACCAUGGACUUAAUAUCUUAAAAAACAUACUUGUAUUUUUCAGUUUUGUCUGAAAGAGUUCUGACCUUCAGUUAAAUUCAAGGUGUCAAUGGACUGUGUUCCUUCCUGGUGAUUUCCACAGAGUCUCAUGGAACCAUCCAUAUAAUCCGUGCUAGUAUUCCCAUUUAAGUUUCAUUUCUACAAUCAUACCUACAAAAUGCCAUGUUUCCAUAUUCCCAGUCCUGGGUUUUGUAAUAAGUCUAGAUGUUACCUUACUGCUCAUAUUGGACUUCUCCAUCACACCAUCACACAGCUCAAGCUCUCAGUCUCUAAGUUCAGCAUGUUCUAACUGAAUCAGUGUUUCUAAGUGUUUUACAAGUGUUGUCUCCACUAUGACAUUUCUGGAUGACUUGUUAAUAUACAGGGCUAUUCAAAUCUUACUAACUACCGAUUAUGCACUCUUUCAGUUUCUAUCUGCUGGAAAGUCUUCUUAGAAAUGUCUCGAAGUUUAUGAACGUUAUCAAUCCAGAUAGAGUAAAUCCUGUUCACAGAAAAUUACAUCACAAUUAUAAAACAAAGCUAUCCUUCCAGAUUGCCUACAGCCUUUUAAAGUAUUGCUUCUUUGAUACUCUUACUAACAGCACAGAGUAUCUAUGUAUGUUGGUUGUUCUGAGCCCUGGUAGUC